GACAAUUUUAUUUAAAAGGCAAUUUGAUAAACCUACAGGUAGAAAUUAGCUCAGGUUGGCACCUAGGUUUCCUGCAUAACAAAGAAAGGAAAGGAGGGAGAAGUGACUACUUUGCUGGGGAAGAAAGGUUAUGAAAAGGAGACAACUCCAGGUGCUGUCUGCAUUGUUCAGUCGUGCUUUGUGGAGUGAUUUUUCUCCUUGAGGGAAACAACAUGUUGUGCUGAGUCCUGUUCGUGGUUUGCACACAGUGGAAAGGUGGCUGAUAUAUAGGUGACACAUGAGUAACCCCACUUACUUAAUGUAUUCAUAAAAGGAAUAAAGUCGUGGCUGGCAUGAGCAGUGAGCCGUGAAGGAACCUCUUCUGCAAAUGUGUCAGAGGCCCUUCCUGGAGCCAAUGACUCUCCUGAAAGAAAGCACUCUGGGUUCCCCACCUACUCUGUCAUCUUGGCAGCUGGCAGCAACUCAUUCUGCACCACAAAAUAUGAAGAAAUUUGGAGGAGGAGGAAAAGUCUUACCAGUAAAUAUAACCAAGGCAUCAGCAAAAUGAUGAAACUGAUAUAUAGCUGUUUUCCUCUUGCAAAAGACUUUUUCAUCUGACAAGAUACACACGAUAGAUGAAAACAUUAAAUGUGAAAAAUAUGUAAGUAGCAGGUGCUGAGCUUUGUAUAAUGAGUUGUGUGUUCAUUUCUUCUUGAAGGUGAGAAACAGUUCAACCACAGCUGGGGUGGGUGGAGAAACAUAAUUCUUGGUGAUGUAUAGUGAAAAUCAUAGCCCACCAGCUCAGCCAUACAGCACUUGAAGAGGUCAUGAUUAUGAAGGGCCGCACACAAGAGCCAGAUGUAUACCAGUGACAAGGAAUACGCAUUUUCUUCAGAUGUCACAAGUCCUCUUUUUCAUUGUUGAGUAAUGACUAUAACAGCAUCACUUAGUUCAACCAACAGUAUCUGUGAUGGGGCAGAAGAAAACCUCAAGACAGUAUUAGUGUUCAAAUAACACGAGUUUCACAAACACCCAGAACAGUUUCUUUUUUGCAAUGAUUCAUAGGUGAUUUAAAAAAAAAAAAAAAAAAACUGUAAGACAAUUUCCUGUGGUGAAUUUAAAACCAUAGCUUUUGAAUUCUUGAAAAACAAUGCUUUCAAGUUGGCCAUCUCUAUGAUGCUGGUCAUCUUGGUGUUUAGGUGUUCAGAGCCAUUAAACUACAACAAAGCACAUAAAUAUAAAGUGACAAAAAGAGUCCUUGCCUGUCUCUCCGAGCCAGCAGCUUCUCAUCGGGAAUAACGGUUUCAGAGGGGAGGGUUAGAAGAUUCCUUAGAUAGAUUCAUGGUGGCUUCCAGAUGGCUGAUACAAAAGCCAGAGGGAGGCUUGGGUAGGCAGUCAUUUGAUAGCUGGUUUAUGACGAGGAUAGCAAAAUGAAUUUCCAGAUAUAUUUCCAACUAGAGGCCUUAGAAUCUCUCACCCAGGGUUUCUGUUGUAAAUUAAAAUUGGUAUUCAUGACAAUGUGCCUUCUAAUACGACAUAUUAUGGAGGCAAUCAUACCAAGC
rnacentral:lncRNA from 10 species